GACGAACGCUGGCGGCGUGCUUAACACAUGCAAGUCGAACGGAAAGGCCCUGCUUUUGUUGGGUGCUCGAUUGGCGAACGGGUGAGUAACACGUGUGUAACCUGCCCUUGACUUUGGGAUAACUUCAGGAAACUGGGGCUAAUACCCGAUAUGAGCUCCUGCUGCAUGGUGGUGGUUGGAAAGUUUCGGCGGUUGGGGAUGGACUCGCGGCUUAUCAGCUUGUUGGUGGGGUAGUGGCUUACCAAGGGUUUGACGGGUAGCCGGCAUGAGAGGGUGACCGGCCACAUUGGGACUGAGAUACGGCCCAGACUCCUACGGGAGGCAGCGGUGGGAAAUAUUGCACAAUGGGCGGAAGCCUGAUGCAGCAACGCCGCGUGCGGGAUGACGGCCUUCGGGUUGUAAACCGCUUUCGACUGUGACGAAGCGUGAGUGACGGUAAUGGGUAAAGAAGCACCGGCUAACUACGUG
rnacentral:rRNA from 1 species